GGUUAAGCGACUAAGCGUACACGGUGGAUGCCCUGGCAGUCAGAGGCGAUGAAGGGCGUGCUAAUCUGCGAUAAGCGCCGGUAAGGUGAUAUGAACCGUUAUAACCGGCGAUACCCGAAUGGGGAAACCCAGUGUGACUCGUCACACUAUCAUUAACUGAAUCCAUAGGUUAAUGAGGCGAACCGGGGGAACUGAAACAUCUAAGUACCCCGAGGAAAAGAAAUCAACCGAGAUUCCCCCAGUAGCGGCGAGCGAACGGGGAGGAGCCCAGAGCCUGAAUCAGCAUGUGUGUUAGUGGAAGCGUCUGGAAAGUCGCGCGAUACAGGGUGACAGCCCCGUACACAAAAGCGCAUGUGUUGUGAGCUCGAUGAGUAGGGCGGGACACGUGGUAUCCUGUCUGAAUAUGGGGGGACCAUCCUCCAAGGCUAAAUACUCCUGACUGACCGAUAGUGAACCAGUACCGUGAGGGAAAGGCGAAAAGAACCCCGGCGAGGGGAGUGAAAAAGAACCUGAAACCGUGUACGUACAAGCAGUGGGAGCACCCUUCGGGGUGUGACUGCGUACCUUUUGUAUAAUGGGUCAGCGACUUAUAUUCUGUAGCAAGGUUAACCGAAUAGGGGAGCCGGAGGGAAACCGAGUCUUAAUUGGGCGUUAAGUUGCAGGGUAUAGACCCGAAACCCGGUGAUCUAGCCAUGGGCAGGUUGAAGGUUGGGUAACACUAACUGGAGGACCGAACCGACUAAUGUUGAAAAAUUAGCGGAUGACCUGUGGCUGGGGGUGAAAGGCCAAUCAAACCGGGAGAUAGCUGGUUCUCCCCGAAAGCUAUUUAGGUAGCGCCUCGUGAAUUCAUCUCCGGGGGUAGAGCACUGUUUCGGCUAGGGGGCCAUCCCGGCUUACCAACCCGAUGCAAACUGCGAAUACCGGAGAAUGUUAUCACGGGAGACACACGGCGGGUGCUAACGUCCGUCGUGAAGAGGGAAACAACCCAGACCGCCAGCUAAGGUCCCAAAGUCAUGGUUAAGUGGGAAACGAUGUGGGAAGGCCCAGACAGCCAGGAUGUUGGCUUAGAAGCAGCCAUCAUUUAAAGAAAGCGUAAUAGCUCACUGGUCGAGUCGGCCUGCGCGGAAGAUGUAACGGGGCUAAACCAUGCACCGAAGCUGCGGCAGCGA
rnacentral:rRNA from 1 species